rnacentral:lncRNA from 1 species
CUCUCGACUUCUCACGAUAUCACAUUCUCAAUUGCAAGAAUCUCAAGUGGCUGCUGCACAACGCUACAUGCUUUCAGUCAUUAACAAUAAAAGGUUGUCCUGAAUUGAUAUUCCCAAUACAAGGUCUGCAAGGACUGUCCUCUCUUACCUCUCUCGAAAUCUCAGAUCUUCCAAAUCUCAUGUCCCUUGACUGUUUGGAGCUUCAACUGCUCACCUCUCUUGAAAAAUUAGAGAUCUGUGACUGCCCCAAGCUCCAAUUCUUGACAGAAGAGCAGCUGCCCACCAACCUUUCCGUUCUAACAAUCCAGAACUGCCCAUUGCUGAAAGAUCGGUGCAAGUUUUUGACAGGGGAAGAUUGGCAUCAUAUAGCUCACAUUCCACACAUUGUGAUCGAUGACCAAGUUAUGUAAUGAAGGUGGCAUUACACCAAUUUAUAGUCAGGUACUUGUUCUGUCCUAAAAAUGAUUGUCUCAGGAAAACUAACAUACUUAAAUACCAAUUUUGAAUUGAUCCAUUAUCAAUAGGAAAAAUAUGCUUUAAAUUUUCUAAUUAUUAUAACAAUUUCUUGCUUUCUUUCAGGUCAUCUGUGAUGCUUCACUCUGGCUCUGAUCAACAUAUCUUCAUAAGGAAUCUUUUAAGACUCCCUUGCUUAAUUAGGGCCUUGUCAAAUGCUUCAGAUUUCAUUUAGAGUGAAUUGAUGCUUAAAAGCCAAGCAGCUCUGCAGGUCUGAUUUGGUAAAUUGUGUUUCUUGUAUAAUUUUGUGGACCUUGAAUUUGUUUUCAGUGGCUAAUUUGCUGAAAUCUGAUGGCAGGCCUUUGAUCCUUGUUCUCUCAACAAACUCUAGCUGUCUAGUAAUGAUUUCCAAUGGGGCCAUUUUUUUGUUGUGAGUUCAGGUUCAUGACUCUUUUUGGACAACAGUAGCCAAGAUUUUUUGCACCCAAAGAAUCAUGAGUUGAUACUCUGCUGGAGGAACUACAGAAGCUCAACUCUGUUGGAGAGUGGAGGAUGCAGCAGGCUCUAUGAUUCCAGUUAGUGAGACAUUUCAAUUGCUUUGGUUUAACUUUCGAAGCUACAAACUACAAUACUCAUAAUCUCAUAUGCAUUAAUUUUCAGGUUCUUUGAGGUUGCAUCAGCAUUGAUAUCUUAGUUCUUCUCUAAAAACAACAGGUAUGUUUCUUUUAAUUCAUACUUUUCAUAAGCUGACACAUUGUGGAGUUCCAUCAUUUUCAACACAAGAUAAACCUAAUACUAAAUUCUAUUGAAGCUAAAACAAAAAUCUUACUGCCUGAGGUUCUGUCUUCCAUGAAUUUUAUUCACUAUGUUCAUAUGGCAUCUAAGCAACCUAGACGUUAACAUUUUCCUUGGUCUACAUAUUGUUUUCAUCUCUUUCAGCUUUGAUUAAUCUGCAGACAUUCGGUUUAGGCACCUCAAACUCAAAAUCUUCAGCUUCUGUCAUGCCAUCUCCUUCUCAUUUCAUGAUUGUCAUCCACCUUUGAGCUUUACUUUGUUAAUGGUAAGAUAGUCAUAAUAGUACUACAAUAGUUGAGCAUGGAUUGACAACAAUGCAUGCUUUCAGUCUUCAACAUCACACGGUUGUCCUGAAUUGAUAUUCCCAAUGCAGGGUCUUCCCUCCAACCUAAAUUCACUUACAAUAACAAACUGCAACAAACUUACAUCCCACAUGGACUGUGGCCUGCAAGGGCUGGCCUCUCUUACCUCUCUCAAAAUCUCAGGUCUUCCAAAUCUCAGGUCCCUGGACAGUUUGGGGCUUCAACUGCUCACCUCUCUCCAAAAAUUAGAGAUCCGUGACUGCCCCAAGCUCUAAUCCUUGACAGAAAAGCUGCUGCCCACCUCCCUUUCUGUUCCAACAAUCCAGAACUGCCCAUUGCUGAAAGGUCAGUGCAAGUUUUGGACAAGGGAAGAUUGGCAUCCUAUAGCACACAUUCCAAACAUUGUGAUCGAUGACCAAGUUUUGUAAUGAAGGUAGCAUUACACUAAUUUUUAGUCAAGUACUUGUUCUGUCCUUAUAGUAAUUUUCUCAGGAAAACUGAUAUGCUUAAAUAGCAAUUUUAAUUUGAUCCAUCAUAAAUGGGAUAAAAUAUGCUUUAAAUUUUCUAAUUAUUAUAAUAACUUCUUGCUUCUUUCAG